CUCUCUUCUAGAGCAGUACGCGAGUCAAAAUCCACCUCAAAACCCAAAAAUCACUACAAAAAAGAGCAACUCAAAGAGUUGCAAAACAUAGUAGAGUGUCAAAAUUGACGACCAUAAGUUCCAAAACAGAGUCGACCGAGAAGCUGGUUUUCUCAGACGAGCACAAAGCCACCAUCUUUGCUAUAGAACCAAGCUCGGAACCAAGAGAAAGAGGCGAGACGAAAGAAAAGGAGAAGAGAACGGGGAAGAAGGAAGAGAAGGAGAAGAGACAGACCGGAAGCUCUUGACUAAAACAACACAAGUGGAAGGUAUUUGUGGUUUUGUGAGAAUUUGAUUAGAAAUUUAUUAUGGGUUGUAUAUUUGAUUGGAUGCUUCAAAAUUGAAUACUUGGAUAUUGGGUUGUCAUUGAUUUUGUUUGCAGGUUUUGCUUGCUAUUAUUGUUAUUGUGUUUCACAUUAUGAGUA